rnacentral:tRNA from 1 species
GGUUCGGUAGUUCAGUGGUUAGAAUACAUGCUUGUCACGCAUGGGGUCACGGGUUCGAUCCCCGUCCGGACCG